CCCAGUGUGCUAACCCGCACGUGCGGAUUUGGUUCCGUUCCGGUCAGACCAGGGAAGAUGAGGGACCAGCGAAGAGUUGGGGACGGGAUAGGGGAGGCCAGUCCGGGCGAGCGGCGCCUGGUCCGGUGAGGAGAGCGGGUCCCGGGCAGCACCCCCAGUACGGCGUAGGAGGCGACAAGCCGAAAAGGCGCGCUCCUGAUGGAGGGCUGGGCCCGGGGGACGCAAAAGCCGCCAAGCGUGGCCUGCGGCCGGGUCGGGGCGUGCUGGGCAGGAGGCCGGCAGACGGGGAAGGAGGCUGCCGCGGCGCUGGAGGCCGGGCCCGGGGCGGUGGCCGGGGACUGAGGGCACGGCGCGUGGGAGCCGCCCACGACGGGGGAUAGGCUGGGUCCUCCACGGCGUAUCCGGAGGACGGUGUGGGACGCCAAGGAGGCUGUGCGCUUCUACUGAUUCCACUUUGCCCACUGACUGCGGUCAGUGACAGCGCUCCCAGAGAACCCUGGCUCACUGGCCUUCAACUUACUCUGCUGCCCAGACAUCCGCUUGGGUACCCACAGACUCACAGGAUGCCCCCCAGGCCGGACUCGUCACCGCCCCGCAGAACGGGUCAACUUUUCCUGUUCUUAUUGAUAGCACCCCAUCCACCCAGUGUGAAGUCCCUAAUGCCCAGAGAGGAAUCUGCAGCAUGACAGCAGAGCGCACCUUCCGCGUGAAUGGCCCUUGUUUACAGCAUCAGCUGUCUGAACCUUACUUUUACUUCUCAAUCAAGAUUUCUCCACUUUUAUACGGCUUCUCUGCGGUGGCCUGUCCUCUCCGAUAUGGUAUGUUGUACUUCAACUAAGAGGUUCCUACGAUCGUUACAUUCACUAGGUUUCUCCAUCACGUGACCUAAUGGGGUUAUCACUGGAGGGUUAACCACCGUGAAGGGUCCCAGGAAAGCUCUCCUCACGUAUGAGUUCUCUGAUGCCGCGUGAGGUUCGUACUCCGACUGAAGGCCUUCCCACAUUCGUUACACUGAUAGGGCUUCUCUCCUGUGUGAGUCCUCUGGUGCACUGUCAGGGAUGAAUUCUUAAUGAAGGCUUUCCCACACUGGUCACAUUCAUAGGGCUUCUCACCGGUAUGAAUUCUCUGAUGCUCAAUAAGAUAAGCACUCUGGCUGAAGGCCUUCCCGCAUUCGCUGCACUCGUACGGCUUCUCCCCAGUGUGAAUAACCUGGUGCACGGUCAGCGACGAUCGCCCAGUGAAAUGUUUUCCACACACCGGACACUCAUAAGGUUUCUCUCCAGUAUGAAUUCUGCGGUGUUGAGUAAGAGAUGAGUUCUUACCGAAAGCCUUUCCGCACUGAUUGCAUUCAAAAGGCUUUACUCCCGAAUGAAGUCUCUGAUGCUCUAUGAGACAAAACAGCCCAGAGACAAUGAGAGGCAGAGGGCAGGAAGCUACAAAUGGAGAGUCAGCUGGCCAGCUUGAUCAGGAUUACCAGACCAGAGAUCCACACUGAACCAACAGACCAAAGGCCUCUGGGCAGGAGGCUUUACUGCGAAGCAAACGCCUAAGCCCUAAGGAGACAAUAUUAAGAGCUGGGGUCUUCGGUCAUUAAGUCAUGAGGGUAAAGCCUCUCGUGAUGGGAUCAGCGCCCUUGUAAGAAGCGGCACACCAGAGAGCUUGCUGUCUGCUGUGAACCAGGAGGGCCCUCACCCGAAACCCAACCGUGCUCGCACCCCGGCCUCAGACUUCCAGCCUCCAGAAAACGUUUUUCUCCUUGAAAGAGAGAACACCAAGCGACCCACCCUAAAGCAACGCCCUGUAGUAUCAGGAUUUCAAGCCCAAAUUCACGAAUUUCACAGGCUGUACAAGACGUCAACGGCGGGGAGGUGGCAGCAGGCAGGUCCGAGUAACAAGGAGACGUCCUUCCCCAGCGAAGCCAGGUGCCUGGAGCUCUCCAGCAUCGCUCCCCUGAGCAGUGUCUAGCUGGAUCCACUCCUCCCGGAUGAAAUCCACAGACUUAUCCUCGAACAUCCCCGACUCCUGAAGCUAUAAAUUCCCGCUCAAGGGAAGGGUUGCGCCAAUGACACCCUCCGAAGGGAGUGGAAAAAACAAGCAGCAUUAGAAGGGACGGGAUAGAGAGAGCUAUGUGAGGAGAACGUGUCAUCCUCCCAAAGGAACCAAACACCUGCAAGAAAAACGGACAUUACCAUGAAAUAUCCAGAGGUAAAUAUAGAAAGUGCUUUGGCAUUUAGGGACGGAAGAGGAGGUCCAGGGGGCCGUGGGGGAAGCUACCGAAGGCUGCUCUAGGUUAGCACCGAGGAAGAGGAGGUGGCGUUCGGAUCGCCUCCUGUUCACCCACGGAUGACGGACGGAGGGGUCCCCAACCCUAAAGAGCACAAGAUGACCGAACACGUGACACCCAGCACUGGACAGAUGAGACUGUGAGCAGUUUAUCAGUCACAGAUCCUCACCCGCAUGGCGGAGGACACUCGGGGGUUGCACUUGGGAGCAGAGAACUAGCAGGGGCCGUGGGAGGCAGGCUCUGUACUGACAAGGGGGUGAGGUGACCCUUGGUAACCACGGGAAGAUGGGAUCGGCUUGUUUGAACAAUUCUGUGGGCUGGUAGGGAGAUGAAACCCACUAGGCUGAGGACUGGGAGGGGUGUACCUGGCUGGGCUGAUAGGGGAGCUGGCCAGGCAGGUGGGGGGAGCCCUUCCCACUGGGUGGGGGUGUGUCUGGCGAGAGCAGGGGACCUCACAGCUAGGUCUUUGGAGUAACGUGAGGCUCCAAGUUGUAGACGCAGCACAUGGAAUUUUAGGCUUUACUAUAAUUGGGCAGGAAUUCCAGUUAGUGGGGGGGAAGCAUGUGCAAGCGGGAUAAAUCCAGAAAGUGGCUGGCCUACGAGACAACCAAGAAAACACCCAGCUUGACUUAAAAAUGGCAUUUCCAAUUUAUAAGCCCAUUUCAGCCUUGUUUUGUAGCCCCCAGACUAGGAAAUAAAACUGUAAGCAUUCA